AUCUGAAAAAAAAAUGAGUGUCCUUAGUGUAGUGAUGUGCCUUGUCCCUUUCAGGAACAUACUCCUGGGACAUAUGUACACUUGGCUCGUCCACCCUUCCCGCCAGUGUCUUUACUCCUGGUCCAUUGGGGCCUCCUGUGGGGGUAGAUGUCCCCUCUGCUCUCACAGCCUGUUCUCCUCCCUAGACACUUGCUAUGUCCUGUCCUUUGCAAUCAUCAUGCUGAACACCAGCCUACACAACCCCAACGUCAAAGACAAGCCUACGGUGGAGAGGUUCAUCGCCAUGAACCGAGGCAUCAAUGACGGAGGAGACCUGCCCGAGGAGCUGCUGCGGGUGAGCAGGGCGGGAGCUGCUCUGUCAGCGGCAAAGCCUGCACUCGGAGCCGGAUCCUAAAUGUGUGAAUUUCACAAAGGCCAGCUGAGAAUCAGGAUGGGAGGUGGCUUCUAAGUCUGAAACUGAAAACC
rnacentral:lncRNA from 1 species